rnacentral:rRNA from 1 species
AGUCGAGGGGCAGCAUUUUAGUUUGCUUGCAACUGAAGAUGGCGACCGGCGCACGGGUGAGUAACACGUAUCCAACCUGCCGAUAACUCCGGAAUAGCCUUUCGAAAGAAAGAUUAAUACCGGAUGGUAUACGAAUAUCGCAUGAUAUUUUUAUUAAAGAAUUUCGGUUAUCGAUGGGGAUGCGUUCCAUUAGUUUGUUGGCGGGGUAACGGCCCACCAAGACUACGAUGGAUAGGGGUUCUGAGAGGAAGGUCCCCCACAUUGGAACUGAGACACGGUCCAAACUCCUACGGGAGGCAGCAGUGAGGAAUAUUGGUCAAUGGGCGCGAGCCUGAACCAGCCAAGUAGCGUGAAGGAUGAAGGCUCUAUGGGUCGUAAACUUCUUUUAUAUGGGAAUAAAGUUUUCCACGUGUGGAAUUUUGUAUGUACCAUAUGAAUAAGGAUCGGCUAACUCCGUGCCAGCAGCCGCGGUAAUACGGAGGAUCCGAGCGUUAUCCGGAUUUAUUGGGUUUAAAGGGAGCGUAGGUGGAUUGUUAAGUCAGUUGUGAAAGUUUGCGGCUCAACCGUAAAAUUGCAGUUGAAACUGGCAGUCUUGAGUACAGUAGAGGUGGGCGGAAUUCGUGGUGUAGCGGUGAAAUGCUUAGAUAUCACGAAGAACUCCGAUUGCGAAGGCAGCUCACUAGACUGUUACUGACACUGAUGCU